rnacentral:rRNA from 1 species
UACGUAGGGUGCAAGCGUUGUCCGGAAUUAUUGGGCGUAAAGAGCUCGUAGGCGGUCUGUCGCGUCGGCUGUGAAAUCCCGAGGCUCAACCUCGGGUCUGCAGUCGAUACGGGCAAACUGGAGUACUGCAGGGGAGACUGGAAUUCCUGGUGUAGCGGUGAAAUGCGCAGAUAUCAGGAGGAACACCGGUGGCGAAGGCGGGUCUCUGGGCCGGUACCGACGCUGAGGAGCGAAAGCGUGGGGAGCGAACAGG